rnacentral:tRNA from 1 species
UCACAAUCCACUGCCUUGAUCCACUUGGCUACAUCCGCC